rnacentral:rRNA from 1 species
AACGUAGGAGCCAAGCGUUAUCCGAAUUCACUGGGUGUAAAGCGCGUGCAGGCGGCCUGGUAAGUUGGAUGUAAAAUCUCCUGGCUCAACUGGGAGGGGACGUACAAGACUGCCAGGCUCGAGGACGGUAGAGGGAGGUGGAAUUCCCGGUGUAGUGGUGAAAUGCGUAGAUAUCGGGAGGAACACCAGUGGCGAAAGCGGCCUCCUGGACCGGACCUGACGCUCAGAUGCGAAAGCUAGGGGAGCAAACGGG